rnacentral:rRNA from 1 species
GAUUAACGCUGGCGGCGUGCCUAACACAUGCAAGUCGAGCGGCAGCGAGUUUUACACUGAAUUCUGGAAGCUUCUAGUUGAAAGAGAAGAUUUAUUCAAGAAUUUUGUGUAAAAUGUCGGCGAGCGGCGGACGGCUGAGUAACGCGUGGGAACGUACCCCAAAGUGAGGGAUAACGCAUCGAAAGGUGUGCUAAUACCGCAUAUGGUCUUCGGAUUAAAGCCUUCGGGCGCUUUGGGAACGGCCUGCGUAAGAUUAGAUAGUUGGUGGGGUAAUGGCCUACCAAGUCGACGAUCUUUAACUGGUUUGGGAGGAGGAUCAGUCAGACUGGAACUGAGACACGGUCCAGACUCCUACGGGAGGCAGCAGUGAGGAAUCUUACACAAUGGGCGAAAGCCUGAUGGAGCAACGCCGCGUGCAGAAUGAAGGCCUUCGGGUUGUAAACUGCUUUUAUAAGUGAGGAUUAUGACAGUAACUUAUGAAUAAGGAUCGGCUAACUACGUG